rnacentral:rRNA from 1 species
AUGGAUUUGAGGUUGGGCUACCAUCAAAUCAAAAUCAGAAACGGGGACAUUCCUAAAACGGCCUUUGUUACUCGUUAUGGCCAAUACGAGUACACCGUCAUGUCCUUCGGUUUAACCAACGCUCCAGCCACCUUUUCUCGGUUAAUGAACUCAAUCUUCAUGGAGUAUUUGGAUAAAUUCGUCGUAGUUUAUCUCGAUGAUAUACUCAUCUACUCCAAGAACGAGGAAGAACAUGCCGAACAUUUAAGGCUAGUGUUGCAGAAACUUCGAGAGCAUCGCCUUUAUGCCAAGUUUUCCAAAUGUGAAUUUUGGUUGUCAGAAGUGACCUAUCUGGGUCAUGUAAUAUCUGGUAAAGGCAUUGCUGUUAACCCUGAGCGAGUUCAAGCCGUCCUUAAUUGGACUCCACCUGAAUCGGUCAAGCAAGUUCGGAGUUUUCUAGGCUUAGCGAGCUAUUGUCGUCGCUUUGUCGAAAACUUCUCCAAAGUUGCUAAACCUCUAACCGAACUCCUCAAGAAAGAUAAGAAGUUCGAAUGGACUCCACAAUGUGAGCACAGCUUUCAGGAACUGAAGAGAUGCCUGACUUCUGCUCCCGUACUGGUACCGCCAGACUUCUCCAAGGACUUUGUUAUCUACUGCGACGCCUCGCGACAAGGACUAGGUUGCAUUCUUAUGCAAGAUCGACACGUAAUUGCCUACGCUUCGCGGCAAUUGCACCCACAUGAGGAGAAUUAUCCUACUCAUGAUCUAGAGCUUGCAGCCGUAGUCUAUGCACUUAAGACCUGGCGACAUUACCUCCUCGGUAAUCGUUGCGAAAUAUUCACUGAUCACCAAAGUCUGAAGUACAUUUUCACCCAACCGGAUUUGAAUCUCAGGCAAAGACGUUGGGUUGAGUUGAUCACAGAUUUCGACUUGGGAAUAACUUACACCCCAGGGAAAGCCAACGUCAUGGCUGAUGCGCUAAGUCGUAAAUCUUAUUGUAACAACCUAAUGUUACAACAAAGUCAACCACUUCUCCAUGAGGAAUUUCGGAAGCUUAACCUUCACAUUGUUCCUCAAGGAUUUAUUUCCACCUUGGUGGCGAAACCUACUCUUACGGAUCAAAUUAUCGCUGCCCAGAAGCGAGAUAAGGGAAUAGCUAAGAUCAAAGAGAACAUUGCUAGCGGAGGUGCUAGUUGUUUCUCCACAAAUGAUCAUGGUGUUGUGUACUUUGGUAACCGUUUAGUGGUUCCCAAGAAUCCGCAUCUACGGCAGUUGAUCCUUAAGGAGGCUCAUGAAUCUCCUCUCACCAUUCAUCCCGGUAGUACUAAGAUGUAUCAGGACCUACGCCAGAGGUUCUGGUGGACUAGGAUGAAGAGAGAAAUUGCUCAGUAUAUUGCUAGCUGCGACGUCUGCCGUCGUGUAAAAGCAGAGCAGCAACGGCCUGCUGGCACCCUUCAACCCUUAGCCAUUCCUGAAUGGAAAUGGGAUAAAAUUGGUAUGGAUUUCAUUACCGGUUUUCCCAGGACCAAGAGAGGGAAUAAUGCUAUCUUCGUCGUUCUCGAUCGUCUUUCCAAAGUAGCCCAUUUCUUACCUGUUCGUGAGAGUAUAACCGCUAGUCAGCUGGCAGACUUAUACAUCUCCCGGAUAGUGUCUCUCCAUGGUGUUCCUUUGGAAAUUAACUCGGAUCGAGGAAGUCUUUUCACCUCUCGAUUUUGGGAAAGUUUCCAAAACGCUAUGGGAACCCGCCUUUCCUUUAGCACCGCUUUUCACCCUCAAUCGAGUGGUCAAGUAGAACGCGUCAACCAGAUUCUAGAAGACAUGCUUCGAGCCUCUGUUAUCUCAUUCGGAAUGGAUUGGGAGAAGUGCCUUCCAUUUGCCGAAUUCGCUUACAACAACAGCUAUCAAUCUAGCUUGGGUAAAGCCCCUUUUGAAGUUCUCUAUGGACGACGGUGUCGAACACCCCUUAACUGGUCAGAAACCGGGGAAAGACAAUUCUUUGGCCCGGAUAUGAUUCAGGAAGCAGAAGAGCAAGUUCGCAUCGUUUGUGAAAAGUUGAAAACCGCCCAAUCCCGUCAGAAGAGUCAAUAUGACCGAAAACAUAAGGCUAUGACUUUCGAGGUUGACGAGAAGGCUUAUCUUCGGGUUACCCCUCUGAAGGGAACCCAUCGUUUCGGUAUCAAAGGCAAAUUGGCUCCUCGUUACAUUGGACCUUUUCGCAUUCUCGCCAAACGAGGAGAAGUUGCCUACCAGUUGGAACUACCUCCGCACCUCUCCAGAGUCCACGAUGUCUUCCACGUUUCUCAACUCAGGCGUUGCUUCUCUGAUCCUAUCCAUGGAGUGGACCACGAAACGCUUGAUCUCCAAGAUAAUCUUACAUAUCGGGAGUACCCCAUUCGUAUCCUCGAUCGGGCCGAGCGUACCACUCGACGUCAUAAUAUCAAGUUUCUCAAAGUUCAAUGGUCGCACCAUUCUGAGGAUGAAGCAACUUGGGAAAGGGAGGAUCGUCUUCGACUCGAGUAUCCCGCCUUCUUCCCGGAGGAACCCAAAUCUCGGGACGAGAUUGUUUGA